CCCCCCCCUCCCCCUUUUUUUUUAACUUUUUUUCUUUUCCCUGCUGACAGCAAAGUAGAUAAAUGGAUGGCUUUUGCUAGGCUGGAACUGCUGCACAACUCUGCUCCUGGAAUGGACUGCCCUGAUCCCAGUGCUGAGUGAGGGAUAUUUCUACGUUACCUGUCAUGUUGGCCCAGGAGUCCUCCAGUGACAUAAAUGAUGUGGAAAGCCUGUUUCAAAAUGUUCCAAAACCAGAGCUGGCAGCUGCAAAGACCAAGCUUGCAAAACUGGUGGUGUCCUUUAUGGCCACACAUACCAUCUCCAGAAGACUAUGCUGUGAAUAGUUGUUUCCCUCUUGGGAUGAUGGGAGGAGGAAGACACACUCCACCUCAGCUUUUCAAGGCAUAGGAACACGUGGCGUAGCAUGGAAAAACCUCAGCUGGAUGUCUCUGGCAUUGCAGUUCAAGAGGAUGUGGACCAGUUGGAAAGAGCCCAAGGAGGAGCAUUGAGCAUAAUUAGGGGUCUUGGAUAUGACCAAGGAGGUAAGAGCUAAGUGAGUUACAUGCUUCAGCUUUUAGAAGAGAAAACUUUGGGCAAUGCAGGGAUAAUCUUUAAGUAUGCAGGGGAUAGAAUCAACCUAUAAAAAGGACAGAAAUAGUUUUUCCUAAGAGCCCAUGAUUUGAUAGGAAUUUUUCGUCUUGCACUGCAGGAAGAAAGACGUAAGUUAAACAAACAGUAGGGAAAAGGUUUCCAACAGUGAGGAUAGUGAAAUACUGGAGUUUCUGUCUUUGAAGGUCUUUAAAAACACCUUAGACAUACAUCUGUCACAAAUGAAAUAGGUAUAGAUCAUCCUGCCUGGAGCAGGGGGAUAAAUCAAAUCACAAGGUAUUUUCUUUCCCUGUUUUUCCAUGAUUCUACAUUGAGGCUAUGCUCCCUUAUGCAUGUUUGGAUCUGAUCCAUUAGUCUAGUCUGAGAGUCAAAUUCCAGAGAUUUUGAAAUAAGUUUUGAAAAAAAUUGGUGCGAUUUGGAUGCCUACCUCCCUUUUUACCCUUUUGAGAAGCCUAGCCUGUAAAAGUAUUCCUCAUCCAGACAAAGCCAGAUAAUUUUCUGUAUGUUGAUAUUUAAAUCCUCUGGCUAAAUCUAUGUUUCCCUGAAAUGCUUCUGCCUGCUCCAACAUGCCCUUGUACAUUAAAUUGCUAUUUUACUGGAUGAAUCGUGCUGAGAACAUUCAACAUAUCAAGCUGGGUAUAAAAAUGUGCAGUCAGAAUGUGAACUAAUCAACAACGGCUUUUGCAUUUCUUCUUUACAUGCAAAAAGGACCAUUUCCAGAUCUCUCCACUGGCUCUGGGUAACCCAGAUAUCGGAGUAAACAAUAAACUGACCCAACCAGCAGACAGCCCCAUGGGAAGCAGAGGUUUGGCAAAGACUGACUGAUGUAGCAUGAAAACAACAGAACGCUUUUUAAAUGAAUAAAGUAAACAACAUUGUG
rnacentral:lncRNA from 1 species